GGCACGGGGGGUAAAUAGUCAGACGCUGAAGACGCAUUGGGGAUCGGGGGAUAAUCCACAGGAGCAUUGGGGAGAAACUUAGUCCUCUGUUUAGCUCCUUCCUCUUUUAUCCUGGAGACGUGUCGCUCCCUGGGAACGGGUCUUUCUCGUUCUCUGGGCACUGGUCUCAUGACCUCUCCGUCCCUUUGCCUAGGAACAGGCUUUUCUUCCACUGGGGAAGGAGAGAGUGUCUGUCUGUGCAACACUUGGUAGUGACCUUUUCCCUCUAGUCUCUGAGUGUCACAGUGUGCACUACGACAGUAUGUAUCAGACUGCGUAUCGCAAUUACCAUGUGUUUUGCUCAGACUGGCCAGGAUGCGCCUCUGGUGACCCGGCAGGGUGAUGCCCAUCUGCUCCAGCUGAUCUGGGUUGCAGGAACAGGACAACAGAAAAGGAAAGAGAAGCCAGCAGCCGAGCUGACAGGUGCAUUGGGUCUCUGCAUCACACAACUGAAUAUCCCAGUGCUGCAAUGAAUCUACUGCCGCUGAUUUCUCUUGGAUGAAGUUUCCGAUUCUGCUGGGUUUUAGCUAAAUGAAGAAUCUGUGGCUUUUUAACAAGUGUCUGCUUUGAUUCAAAAUAAAAAGCUGCUAAACGACUUUAAA